UCUUCAUGCUUGAUGAGAGGUGGGCA
rnacentral:piRNA from 1 species